rnacentral:rRNA from 1 species
UACGAAGGUGGCAAGCGUUGUUCGGAAUUACUGGGCGUAAAGGGCGCGUAGGCGGUCUUGUAAGUCUCGUGUGAAAUCCCUCGGCUUAACUGAGGAACUGCACGGGAUACUGCAUGACUUGAGAUCGGGAGAGGGAAGCGGAAUUCCGGGUGUAGCGGUGAAAUGCGUAGAUAUCGGGAGGAACACCUGAGGCGAAGGCGGGCUACUGGGCCGAUACUGACGCUGAUGCGCGAAAGCCAGGGGAGCAAACGGG